rnacentral:rRNA from 1 species
GACGAACGCUGGCGGCGUGCCUAAUACAUGCAAGUAGGACGCAGUUGCGAACGGGUGAGUAACGCGUAGGUAACUACCUAUUAGAGGGGGAUAACUAUUGGAAACGAUAGCGAAUACCGCAUACUAGUAGAUGGACCUGCGGUGGAUUAGCUAGUAGGUAGGGUAAUGGCCUACCUAGGCAACGGUACAUAGCUGAGCUGGAGAGGUGAUCCGCCACAAUGGGAAUGGGAAACGGCCCAGACUCCUACGGGAGGGAACAAGAGGGGAUCUUCGGCAAUUGGGGGAACCCUGACUGAGCAACGCCGGGUGGGUGAAGAAGGUUUUCGGAUCGUAAAGCUCUGUUGUUAAGGAAGCGGUACUUAACCAGAAAGCGACGGCUAACUACGUGCCAGCAGCCGCGGUAAUAC